rnacentral:lncRNA from 1 species
UCGCCAUCAUCGAGCAGUCCGUGUCCCCCGGCGGCGGCGCGUGGCUCGGCGGCCAGCUCUUCUCCGCCAUGGUCGUGCGCAAGCCGGCGCACCUCUUCCUCGACGAGCUCAACAUCGAGUACGACGAGCAGGAGGACUACGUCGUCAUCAAGCACGCCGCGCUCUUCACCUCCACCGUCAUGAGCCGCCUCCUCGCGCGCCCCAACGUCAAGCUCUUCAACGCCGUCGCCGUGGAGGACCUCAUCGUCAAGGAGGACCGCGUCGCCGGCGUCGUCACCAACUGGGCGCUCGUCUCCAUGAACCACGACACACAGUCCUGCAUGGACCCCAACGUCAUGGAGGCCAAGGUCGUGGUGAGCUCCUGCGGCCACGACGGGCCCUUCGGCGCCACCGGGGUCAAGCGGCUCCAGGACAUCGGCAUGAUCCAGGCGGUGCCCGGGAUGAAGGCGCUCGACAUGAACACGGCCGAGGAUGCCAUCGUGCGCCUCACCCGCGAGGUUGUCCCCGGCAUGAUUGUCACCGGCAUGGAGGUCGCCGAGAUCGACGGCGCCCCGAGAAUGGUACUCCUAAAUCUUGCUUUCCUAUACACGCGUCCUCUUCUUGGAAGAAGAAGAAGAAUCUCUUUUCGACUUGUGCUGGACUGACCGGAUUAAUUUCGUUUGUCUUG